UCAUGUUACUGUUUUUAUAAAAUCAGAAUUGAGGGGGAACGGUUAGCUUGCGGGAGGCAGCCGUAAGUCAUGUGACCGGAAGUGCUCUUGACGGACGCAGUCUCUCCUCUGCUCGGCCUGAGUGCCCGGCCCUACCCCAGCAAAUGGGUGCUGCUAUAGCAGCGAAAACGAAGACUUGGACCAGCUGUUGAGCAUUUAUGGAUGAUUUGUGGUGUGGAAGCUCACAGUGGGGAAUCGACAAGACAGUCCUUCAUAUCCACAGCCUGAAAGCGCUCUCCUCUGCUGCUACAGUGACAAAUAUACCAAGUGCGGGAAGAUUUAGCUGCCUGUUUAUCCACCUGCCUGUGGUGACCAUGUGGACGUCACUUUGCCUUUGCCUCAAUUUGGAAUACAUGCUGGACUCUUCCACCCCAGGAGCAGGAGACAGCCACUUUGAACAGUGUCCAGGUAUGUAAUGUUCUCUCCCCAGCUCCUCCCCGUGGCUGAUCUGUACCUGCUAUCCACAGUUAUCUCCUGGUGACCACCUUCCUAUGAGACAGCUAAACUCAGGCUAUUUGACUGACCCUAUGACUCCAUGCCCUGCAUGGACAACAGAUAGGCCAGACACUGCCUUUUUCUCACAGUGUGAUGAUCUCCUGGAACUUGUUUCUACUCUAUUAAGCCCACCG
rnacentral:lncRNA from 1 species